rnacentral:lncRNA from 1 species
AAAAGGCCCUGGGAACUGUAGACUUAGAUCUGUCUGCGUAUAGUGUUUUGUACUUUGACUAGAGCACUGUUAUUCUGAACGCUCCAUUGUCCUGUUCAGUGUUUGCUUGAGUAUGCAGGUACUUUCCAGCCAUAAAAGUAGCACAUUGCUCACACUUAACAGGGAAUUAAUUUGAACCCGAGUCACCUUGGUGCCAGACCAGUGUUUUCGUUUGCUUGCUUACAAAUAUGGUAUCUGCAGUUGCUAAGCUGCUGAAUGAGCAUCAUCCAGCCAUGGGCGGCUGAUAUACUAUGAUGUCACAAUGAGCCUUGGCAGAUAGAGAUGUCACAGAGGUGCUGAGUAAUCUAGCUGAGUAGUCUAGGAUUAGAGAGGAGGGGCUGUGUAGCUCAGUGGAAGAGCAUAUUUGUUGCAUGGAGAAGAUCCCAGAUUCAUUUUCUGUCAUCUUCAGGGAAAGCUGAGAAAGACCUUUAUGUAAGACACCUCACCCACCAACAUUUAUCUGAUGAAAAUAGGGAUGUCCUAGUCCAUACCCUCCAAUAUUUUUCCAGUGAAAAUAGAGAUGGUCCCCUUCAACAGUUCUCUUGGCGCCAGACCAGUGGAACGCCCUCCCUUCAGAUGUGAAGGAAAUAAGCAGCUAUCUUAUCUUUAAAGGACAUCUGAAGGCAGCCCUGUUUAGGGAAAUUUUUAAUAUUUAAUGCUGUAUUCUUUUUAACACUCGAUUGGAAGGCGCCCAGGGUGGCUGGGGAAACUCAACCAGAUGGGUGGGGUAUAAAUAAAUAAAUAAAUAAAUUAUUAUUAUUAUUAAUAAUAAUAAUAAUAAUAAUAAUAAUUUUCAUUUGCUUGCUUACAAAUAUGGUAUCUGCAGUUGCGAAGCUGCUGAAUGAGCAUCAUCCAGCCAUGGGCUGGACUGAUAUACUAUGAUGUCACAAUGAGCCUUGGCAGAUAGAGAUGUCACAGAGGUGCUGAGUAGUCUAGCUGAGUAGUCUAGGAUUAGAGAGA